GAAAGAAGAAUGAGAGGAAAAAGAAGUGUAGUAUUGCAACCGUGAACUUGAUUGAAAGCUUUUCGCGCGCGCAGAUUUUUUUUUCUUACUUCAUUCUGCUUUCAAGCACAUAUGUUUUUAAUUCAUUGUCGAGAUUAGUCGAUUGAACUUGAACUAGAAAAUUCUUAUCACGGAGAGCUCACAAGUGGUGUGAAGAAAAAAAUAAAUAAAUAUAUAAAGUACUUGGAUGUGGAAGAUGAUUUUCAAAGAAACACGCUAAUUCACUUUUUUAUACCUACAUCUUUUCCUAUUCUCUGUUUGCCAAUGGAUUUUUCGUAUUGCAGAUAUUUCGAGUUAUUUUUUUGUUAUUUAUUUAUUUUUUUGAGAACUUGGAACAGUCACUAUCGGAAGGCCUCGACCAUGUCUCUGAUAGAGAAGAACCUCUACAGGGUCGAGGAAAAAAAUAAGAUUAAACCAUUUAUUUUAAAAAUAGAAGACAAUAAAAAAAUGAGGAAUUUUUCCAUUAUCUAUGAAUUACUCGAGUCUGUGCUUCUGGGGGAGCUGAUAAGGGAAAUGCAACAUUCUAUAUGCAGCGAAACUGUCAACAGUGAUUGCGUAGUGGAUGUGGAAACUUUUAUCAACUUUGUCAUAGACAAAAGACAUGGACGAAAAAUUAGGAUGAUCGUAUACAAUAAAACUGCUGAAUUUCGAUGCUGUUUUUUCCUGAAAAAAAAAAAUAAACCGAUCAACGAUUCAGUGAAAAGGAAGAUCACACGAGAGUCUCGUUAUCACAAUAAGACGCGAUUAUUCUUUUUUUUAAUGAUGUCUGCACAUUUUUUUUUAUUACAUCCUCUUGUGAUCACGUUCACACUUGAGAUCGCACAAAAUCGUUGAGUAAUUAAUUUUUAUGAUGUGAAAUAUUUCACGUAUAUGAAGCACACAAAUUACAACUGAUGAGUUAUUAUUUUACAUGAUAGCACGCGUAGUGUUGGUUUAUCUUUUUUUUGCGAAUAUUGCGCAAAGUGCUUAUUUUUGCAUUGAGCAUCACAAUAAUACUGCGUAUACGUACUUUGGAGGAAGUCACUGAAGUCAUUGGAGGUGGAUGGAUGACAAAAUGCACGUUGGCACUUUUUGUUGCUUCAAAAACUGGCGGCGGAAAUAACAAAUUUUUGGCGGAAGAUGCGGUGCGAUCACAAUUUCGUAAGCACCUGCACGAUCACACGCGGGGAGGAUCACUCGCGAUCGUCAGUGAAAGUGCGAAUUGGUCGUGUGGCGGAUGUGAGACAAAUUAGUGAUGUCUCCCGGCAGCUGGAGAGCACAGUGGGAAUGGUGAGCGAUCGCCGGCAGCAUCGCGUUCACACUGAACACUUGACCAGCGAGAUUGUGCGAUCGUACCGCGGCAGCUCUCUUGGCUGCAAUGGAUGACACGCGGGAGUGCGUCGGGAUUGGCAAUCAGUGCAGCGAGACGACGAUGGAUGAUGGCUAAUUGUCUCACUUCCACAUUCACCAUCCAAAGGAUUGGCAAACAGAGUGAGAGAGAGUGCAAGAGUCCGAUACCAACAUACGGUCUAGUUAUCGAGAAUGGGAGCUUAACACGGUGAUCGAGUGCAGAGCAAAAUGCAGAAUGGAUAACUGUCGAAGUGAUCGUCGCGGGUGAUGGAAGUUGGAUGCACUAAGCGACGCGUCGCAUGAGACAUGCUACUGAUCUGGACUAAGAAGAAAGAAAAAAAAGCAAAACAACCACCGAGAGCAGCGCCGGAUAAACAACAAAUAAAGCUGUUGUAUGUUUCUGGA